rnacentral:rRNA from 1 species
AUGGAGGGACACCCUGUUGGGUCUACACCAUUGGCAGUCUGGGAAACGCUAUGGAAGCUUCAAGUCCCACGUAAAGUUCAGAUUUUUGGAUGGAGAAUAUUGCGAGGAAUAAUCCCGCUUCGAGCUAUACUUGCUAAUAGACAUAUAGGUUCAAAUGGGGCUUGUCCAACUUGUAACCAAGGAGUGGAGGACAUCCGACACCUACUUUUCCAGUGCACUAAUGCGAAGGAAUUAUGGAGGAGACUUGGUGUGACACAUAUUAUUGACCAAGCAAUUCAUGUGGAUAGAUCUGGUUCGGCGAUAUUUGAAUUUAUACUGUCUUUACCAGACCAGGAGCUCGCGGUUCAUCAAGAGUUGAAUUUUAAACAAGUUAUAAUUGUUGGAGGGUGGUAUCUAUGGUGGAUAUGGAGACGUGUGACACAUAAUGAAGCAAUUCCGUCAACAUGGAAGUGGCCGCUCUCGGUGUACGCGUGUCUGCUUCCUCUCGCGCUCACCGCCGCCACCAAAUCCUUCGUCCUCCGGUCGUCACACCGUCCCGUCGUAGAUCCACCACUCCUCCUCUCCUUGACCAUCGACACUCCCGCAGCCCGCUACAUCCGCCACCACCAAAGUCGCGGCCACUCCUGCCUUCGUUUGCUGGCACCACUCCUGCCUUCGUUUGCUGGCACUUCCCGCCACCAAAUCCAUCUACCGUGUGACGGCUGGCGCUAUUGGCUUAGCACGUUUGACACGACCGACAUCGCUGCCCGCGACUUUGACAUCGUGUGUCAUAGGCUUGGUCGGCCGAAGUGGGAGUUUAAUUUCCCGGAGAUCGAAUCCCAGGAGGCUGCGGAGUUCAUCGGUCCCGACAUUGAGAUGGUGACCCGCAUAGACAAGAAGGAAACUCAAACCGUCUUGGAUUAUUACAACAUUUUGGUGCCGUAUUAUAGAACCGCUCUUGGAGAGGCUCUAAGUGGUCCAUUGGUGAUGGCUGCUCGUCGUAGCUCUUUUCUGGUUCUUCUUCUGUUCUUCCUUGUGCCUUCUUGUGUGUGUUGGUUGCUAAUGGUUCAAGGCUGGCGUUGUUACUCCUUUCGCGAUCCACGUGAGUGUGCGUGCGGGUCGGUGUCAGCGUCCGUCCCACACCUGAGUAGAGGAAGGCCGGCGUGGCACCAGGACGGCCCAAGAGAGAAAGGAGGCCGUGCCACAGAUUCACUGGGCCUCAAUGGGUAUCUUACAUGUUCGGCCCAGAGGAACCCACCAGUAGCUGAUAUAAGCGAGUGGAAUAGGUCAUCCUGGCUUGGAUCAGAACAGAUCGGCGGCGGCUGUAGCGUGUAUCUCUCCUCCUGUACUUCUUCCCCUUACUCGAACUCCCUUGUAAUCGCCACCAUACUCGAUUUCGCCAUUGAUCUAUUGAAAGCGACGCGCAAGCAGACAGCCGACCGUCAACGACUCCUCGCCGCCAUGGAUCCGGCGCUCAAGUCCUACCUUGACAAGAUGAUGGAGAAUUUGACCAAGGCUAACAACGACACUCGCACCAACAUCAAGCAGCUCGCGGGCCGCAUCGACACCCAGGCGGCACAAGUCGACGUGCUCUCCGCCUGGAAGCCCGAUUUGGAGGACCGCAUCUCCAAAUUCCAGGAAGCGGUCGGGGCGCUGCAAGGCAAGCGGGCGUCGGCAGCAACGACGUCCAUAGGUGGAUCGCGCGCGGUGGAUCUCUCUGAUCCAGCGCCCGGCGACGGGAUCCACGGGCCUGAUGGCCACGGCGGUCUUCAUCAGCACCGGGGCGGUCCGCCGGCGGGUGGCACCCCGUCGGCGACCUCUCCGACCAAUGCCAGCAUGAGGGCACAGGGUUGCCAGGAUGCGCGCGGCAACCGGCACCGCUACCACUGCUACCACCGCCAACGCGCGCACCAACUACAUAUCCUGCAGCAGAAGAUCGCCGGGGAACGGAUGCAGCUCGAGCCAACAGUGACGCGUCGAAGCUCACUGCCCUUCGCAACUUUCGGCGUGCCAAGGGGCUCUGUUUCAAGUGUGCUCCAUGUAAUCGAGGAGAUGCUCAGUUUGUUCAGUCUAGAGGCAUCAGACGAACAUCCAGCUCUGCGCCCAGCAAAUCAGGAUCAAGACGACACCCAGGAGAAGGACUCGGAGAACAUCACCGACAUAACAUGCACAGAGCUGCCACCAGAAAUUGCCGAGGUACUGCUGGAGAUUCACCAGCAGAACGCCCUGGCGCACGGGAGUGCAAUCCGUCGACUCGAUCUUCGCUACCGUGUGAGGCAACGCCGUGGGGACCGCGGCCGCUGCGAUGGCCAGCAGGUCAUGCACGACAUGUUCGUCGUGUUCUUUGGCUGGGCGGACGACCUGGAGGCCCUUGAGCUCGCCAGGAAGAUGGACGAGGCGCCGAGCACCCCGGCAUGUAGAUCACCGUGGUGCGCUUCCUCGAUGGGAAGGCCGACAGCCAGGAGCACACGGAAGUCGCACUGCUUCCGUCCGAUGCCAGGAACGGUGAGAAGAGCUACACCUUCUAACGCUUCCAGCUCUGCAUGGUCGCCGGCGACGCGCCGCGGUCGACGGCCUCGACAGCUCCUCCUUUCGUCUCCCCACGCACUCCAUCGCCGUGUAGGACGGACUGGCGGCGCCCAGGUCGCCGACUGGUGCCAGUGCCAGGACAGGCAAGCUACAUGUACGCUGAGCUCGCCGAGGAGUUGCGCGCCGCAGAGGACCGCGUCGGAGCCUCCGACAACCUUCCCGUCCUACCCGCGGACGCUUCGAGCUCGCGACCUUCCAGGCCGACGGCGCCCCGCCGUUCCGUGUCAUCUCACCACCGACUCGACAUUGCGUUCGCCCAGGCCGUCGUCGCCUUGUCAUCCAGCGACAUCGGAGCCCUUCGGCCCGCGUCGUCGUCGUGGAGAGAUGCUUCCGCGCUGUGUCGCGCGGCGCGUGUGUAUGACACCGUCGUUCCCAACUGCUCGGUACAUUCCAGGUAAGCGCCACCGCCACAUAACAGAGUCGUCUACCGCUGCAGGUAACUUCCUGUCCACCACGCCGGCAGUGCUCUUCGUGUGGUACACGAACUCUGAAGGCAAGUUCGUGCAGUGCUGCACUUCUCCUUCGGUCCUUCCUCGCCGACUCCUUGUCAGCUCGAAAGCGAUAGCAGCAGCACCACCAGGGCAUAUAUAG